rnacentral:rRNA from 1 species
GACGAACGCUGGCGGCGUGCCUAAUACAUGCAAGUUGAGCGCUGAAGGUUGGUACUUGUACCGACUGGAUGAGCAGCGAACGGGUGAGUAACGCGUGGGGAAUCUGCCUUUGAGCGGGGGACAACAUUUGGAAACGAAUGCUAAUACCGCAUAAAAACUUUAAACACAAGUUUUAAGUUUGAAAGAUGCAAUUGCAUCACUCAAAGAUGAUCCCGCGUUGUAUUAGCUAGUUGGUGAGGUAAAGGCUCACCAAGGCGAUGAUACAUAGCCGACCUGAGAGGGUGAUCGGCCACAUUGGGACUGAGACACGGCCCAAACUCCUACGGGAGGCAGCAGUAGGGAAUCUUCGGCAAAGGACGAAAGUCUGACCGAGCAACGCCGCGUGAGUGAAGAAGGUUUUCGGAUCGUAAAACUCUGUUGGUAGAGAAGAACGUUGGUGAGAGUGGAAAGCUCAUCAAGUGACGGUAACUACCCAGAAAGGGACGGCUAACUACGU